rnacentral:tRNA from 1 species
GCUUCGGUGGCUCAAUUGGAAAGAGCAUCUCGCUACGAACGAGAAGGUUGCAGGUUCGAGUCCUGCCCGAAGCA